rnacentral:rRNA from 1 species
UACGAAGGGGGCUAUCGUUGCUCGGAUUGACUGGGCGUAAAGGGCGCGUAGGCGGUUUGCAUAGUCAGACGUGAAAUUCCUGGGCUUAACCUGGGGGCUGCGUUUGAUACAUGCAGGCUUGAGUUCGGAAGAGGGUCGUGGAAUUCCCAGUGUAGAGGUGAAAUUCGUAGAUAUUGGGAAGAACACCGGUGGCGAAGGCGGCGACCUGGUCCGAUACUGACGCUGAGGCGCGAAAGCGUGGGGAGCAAACAGG